GAUGAACGCUAGCGGCAGGCUUAACACAUGCAAGUCGAGGGGUAUGCUUCUUCGGAAGCAGAGACCGGCGCACGGGUGCGUAACGCGCAUGCAAUCUACCUUUUACAGAGGGAUAGCCCAGAGAAAUUUGGAUUAAUACCUCAUAGUAUUAUAGAAUGGCACCAUUUUAUAAUUAAAGUCACAACGGUAAAGAUGAGCAUGCGUCCCAUUAGCUAGUUGGAAGGUAACGGCUUACCAAGGCUACGAUGGGUAGGGGUCCUGAGAGGGAGAUCCCCCACACUGGUACUGAGACACGGACCAGACUCCUACGGGAGGCAGCAGUGAGGAAUAUUGGACAAUGGCGCAAGCCUGAUCCAGCCAUGCCGCGUGCAGGAU
rnacentral:rRNA from 1 species